rnacentral:rRNA from 1 species
GUUGUAGGACACUCUAUACGGAGUUACAAAGGACGACAUUAGACGAAUCAUCUGGAAAGAUGAAUCAAAGAAGGUAAUAAUCCUGUAGUCGAAAAUGUUGUCUCUCUUGAGUGGAUCCUGAGUACGACGGAGCACGUGAAAUUCCGUCGGAAUCUGGGAGGACCAUCUCCUAAGGCUAAAUACUCUCUAGUGACCGAUAGUGAACCAGUACCGUGAGGGAAAGGUGAAAAGCACCCCGGAAGGAGAGUGAAAUAGAACCUGAAACCGUGUGCUUACAAGUAGUCAGAGCCCGUUAAUGGGUGAUGGCGUGCCUUUUGUAGAAUGAACCGGCGAGUUACGAUUUGAUGCAAGGUUAAGCAGUAAAUGUGGAGCCGUAGCGAAAGCGAGUCUGAAUAGGGCGUUUAGUAUUUGGUCGUAGACCCGAAACCAGGUGAUCUACCCUUGGUCAGGUUGAAGUUCAGGUAACACUGAAUGGAGGACCGAACCGACUUACGUUGAAAAGUGAGCGGAUGAACUGAGGGUAGCGGAGAAAUUCCAAUCGAACCUGGAGAUAGCUGGUUCUCUCCGAAAUAGCUUUAGGGCUAGCCUCAAGUGAUGAUUAUUGGAGGUAGAGCACUGUUUGGACGAGGGGCCCCUCUCGGGUUACCGAAUUCAGACAAACUCCGAAUGCCAAUUAAUUUAACUUGGGAGUCAGAACAUGGGUGAUAAGGUCCGUGUUCGAAAGGGAAACAGCCCAGACCACCAGCUAAGGUCCCAAAAUAUAUGUUAAGUGGAAAAGGAUGUGGCGUUGCCCAGACAACUAGGAUGUUGGCUUAGAAGCAGCCAUCAUUUAAAGAGUGCGUAAUAGCUCACUAGUCGAGUGACACUGCGCCGAAAAUGUACCGGGGCUAAACAUAUUACCGAAGCUGUGGAUUGUCCUUUGGACAAUGGUAGGAGAGCGUUCUAAGGGCGUUGAAGCAUGAUCGUAAGGACAUGUGGAGCGCUUAGAAGUGAGAAUGCCGGUGUGAGUAGCGAAAGACGGGUGAGAAUCCCGUCCACCGAUUGACUAAGGUUUCCAGAGGAAGGCUCGUCCGCUCUGGGUUAGUCGGGUCCUAAGCUGAGGCCGACAGGCGUAGGCGAUGGAUAACAGGUUGAUAUUCCUGUACCACCUAUAAUCGUUUUAAUCGAUGGGGGGACGCAGUAGGAUAGGCGAAGCGUGCGAUUGGAUUGCACGUCUAAGCAGUAAGGCUGAGUAUUAGGCAAAUCCGGUACUCGUUAAGGCUGAGCUGUGAUGGGGAGAAGACAUUGAGUCUUCGAGUCGUUGAUUUCACACUGCCGAGAAAAGCCUCUAGAUAGAAAAUAGGUGCCCGUACCGCAAACCGACACAGGUAGUCAAGAUGAGAAUUCUAAGGUGAGCGAGCGAACUCUCGUUAAGGAACUCGGCAAAAUGACCCCGUAACUUCGGGAGAAGGGGUGCUCUUUAGGGUUAACGCCCAGAAGAGCCGCAGUGAAUAGGCCCAAGCGACUGUUUAUCAAAAACACAGGUCUCUGCUAAACCGUAAGGUGAUGUAUAGGGGCUGACGCCUGCCCGGUGCUGGAAGGUUAAGAGGAGUGGUUAGCUUCUGCGAAGCUACGAAUCGAAGCCCCAGUAAACGGCGGCCGUAACUAUAACGGUCCUAAGGUAGCGAAAUUCCUUGUCGGGUAAGUUCCGACCCGCACGAAAGGCGUAACGAUUUGGGCACUGUCUCAACGAGAGACUCGGUGAAAUCAUAGUACCUGUGAAGAUGCAGGUUACCCGCGACAGGACGGAAAGACCCCGUGGAGCUUUACUGUAGCCUGAUAUUGAAAUUCGGCACAGCUUGUACAGGAUAGGUAGGAGCCUUUGAAACGUGAGCGCUAGCUUACGUGGAGGCGCUGGUGGGAUACUACCCUAGCUGUGUUGGCUUUCUAACCCGCACCACUUAUCGUGGUGGGAGACAGUGUCAGGCGGGCAGUUUGACUGGGGCGGUCGCCUCCUAAAAGGUAACGGAGGCGCUCAAAGGUUCCCUCAGAAUGGUUGGAAAUCAUUCAUAGAGUGUAAAGGCAUAAGGGAGCUUGACUGCGAGACCUACAAGUCGAGCAGGGUCGAAAGACGGACUUAGUGAUCCGGUGGUUCCGCAUGGAAGGGCCAUCGCUCAACGGAUAAAAGCUACCCCGGGGAUAACAGGCUUAUCUCCCCCAAGAGUUCACAUCGACGGGGAGGUUUGGCACCUCGAUGUCGGCUCAUCGCAUCCUGGGGCUGUAGUCGGUCCCAAGGGUUGGGCUGUUCGCCCAUUAAAGCGGUACGCGAGCUGGGUUCAGAACGUCGUGAGACAGUUCGGUCCCUAUCCGUCGUGGGCGUAGGAAAUUUGAGAGGAGCUGUCCUUAGUACGAGAGGACCGGGAUGGACAUACCUCUGGUGUACCAGUUGUCGUGCCAACGGCAUAGCUGGGUAGCUAUGUGUGGACGGGAUAAGUGCUGAAAGCAUCUAAGCAUGAAGCCCCCCUCAAGAUGAGAUUUCCCAACUUCGGUUAUAAGAUCCCUCAAAGAUGAUGAGGUUAAUAGGUUCGAGGUGGAAGCAUGGUGACAUGUGGAGCUGACGAAUACUAAUCGAUCGAAGACUUAAUCAA